rnacentral:rRNA from 1 species
AUUACCGCGGCUGCUGGCACGUAGUUGGCCGGUCCUUCUUCUGCUCCUACCGUCACUUGCGCUUCGUCGGAGCUGAAAGCGGUUUACAACCCGAAGGCCGUCAUCCCGCACGCGGCGUUGCUGCAUCAGGCUUUCGCCCAUAGUGCAAUAUUCCCCACUGCUGCCUCCCGUAGG